UAGGGAAUCUUCCACAAUGGGCGCAAGCCUGAUGGAGCAACACCGCGUGAGUGAAGAAGGGUUUCGGCUCGUAAAGCUCUGUUGUUGGUGAAGAAGGAUAGAGGCAGUAACUGGUCUUUAUUUGACGGUAAUCAACCAGAAAGUCACGGCUAACUACGUGCCAG
rnacentral:rRNA from 1 species